GACGAACGCUGGCGGCGUGCUUAACACAUGCAAGUCGAACGGAAAGGCCCUGCUUUUGUGGGGUGCUCGAGUGGCGAACGGGUGAGUAACACGUGAGUAACCUGCCCUUGACUUUGGGAUAACUUCAGGAAACUGGGGCUAAUACCGGAUAGGAGCUCCUGCUGCAUGGUGGGGGUUGGAAAGUUUCGGCGGUUGGGGAUGGACUCGCGGCUUAUAGCUUGUUGGUGGGGUAGUGGCUUACCAAGGCUUUGACGGGUAGCCGGCCUGAGAGGGUGACCGGCCACAUUGGGACUGAGAUACGGCCCAGCCUCCUACGGGAGGCAGCAGUGGGGAAUAUUGCACAAUGGGCGGAAGCCUGAUGCAGCAACGCCGCGUGCGGGAUGACGGCCUUCGGGUUGUAAACCGCUUUCGCCUGUGACGAAGCGUGAGUGACGGUAAUGGGUAAAGAAGCACCGGCUAACUACGUG
rnacentral:rRNA from 1 species